rnacentral:rRNA from 1 species
AGUGAACGCUGGCGGUAGGCCUAACACAUGCAAGUCGAACGGCAGCACAGGAGAGCUUGCUCUCUGGGUGGCGAGUGGCGGACGGGUGAGGAAUACAUCGGAAUCUACUCUGUCGUGGGGGAUAACGUAGGGAAACUUACGCUAAUACCGCAUACGACCUACGGGUGAAAGCAGGGGAUCUUCGGACCUUGCGCGAUUGAAUGAGCCGAUGUCGGAUUAGCUAGUUGGCGGGGUAAAGGCCCACCAAGGCGACGAUCCGUAGCUGGUCUGAGAGGAUGAGCAGCCACACUGGAACUGAGACACGGUGCAGACUCCUACGGGAGGCAGCAGUGGGGAAUAUUGGACAAUGGGCGCAAGCCUGAUCCAGCCAUACCGCGUGGGUGAAGAAGGCCUUCGGGUUGUAAAGCCCUUUUGUUGGGAAAGAAAUCCAGCUGGCUAAUACCCGGUUGGGAUGACGGUACCCAAAGAAUAAGCACCGGCUAACUUCGUGCCAGCCGCCGCGGUAA